rnacentral:ncRNA from 1 species
GGUAGGGUGCGAAGCGCCAGUCAAGGGAACCCGGUGAGAAUCCGGGGCUGACGCGCAGCGGUAUGAGUGACGGACGGGACCGCAAGCCACUGGAUCACACGAUCUGGGAAGGCGUUCCGACCCGGUUGACCUCGAGUCCGAAGACCUGCUGGCCCUUGUGGCGACCGC